rnacentral:rRNA from 1 species
UACGGAGGGUGCAAGCGUUACUCGGAAUCACUGGGCGUAAAGGGCGCGUAGGCGGCCUAGCAAGUCUGGUGUGAAAGCCCAGGGCUCAACCCUGGAAGGGCACUGGAAACUGUUAGGCUUGAGUUCCGGAGAGGAGGGGGGAAUUCCCGGUGUAGCGGUGAAAUGCGUAGAUAUCGGGAGGAAUACCGGUGGCGAAGGCGCCCCUAAGGACGGAAACUGACCCUGAGGCGCGAAAGCGUGGGGAGCAAACAGG